ACUGGAACGGUAACAGAGAAGAUUAGCAUGGCUCCUGCACAAAGAUGACACGCAAAUUCAUCAAGCAUUCCUUUUUUUU
rnacentral:snRNA from 1 species